GAGAUUAUUGGGCCUAAGCAUCCGUAGCCGGCUCUGUAAGUCCUCGGUUAAAUCUGUACGCUUAACGUACAGGCUGCCGGGAAUACUGCAUAGCUAGGGAGUGGGAGAGGUAGACGGUACUCGGUAGGAAGGGGUAAAAUCCUUUGAUCUAUUGAUGACCACCUGUGGCGAAGGCGGUCUACCAGAACACGUCCGACGGUGAGGGAUGAAAGCUGGGGGAGCAAACCGGAUUAGAUACCCGGGUAGUCCCAGCUGUAAACUAUGCAAACUCAGUGAUGCAUUGGCUUGUGGCCAAUGCAGUGCUGCAGGGAAGCCGUUAAGUUUGCCGCCUGGGAAGUACGUACGCAAGUAUGAAACUUAAAGGAAUUGGCGGGGGAGCACA
rnacentral:rRNA from 1 species